CUGGCAGCAGUCGUUGUCGCAUCUGGCUGGUCUUAUGGACAGUUGGCUGAGGAAAGUCAGGACAGCAAAGAGCACCAUGCUUCCUAACGGGAAGGUCUUCUUAAAGGGGAGAACAGAAAGUGCCACAGAAAAUAACCGUCCGCCUAAGGCGGAUAAGGGUGAAAACGUGAGGUAAGAGCUCACGCUUCCGGUUGGUGACAUCCGGUUGGGGUAAACCUUAUGGGCUGCAAGGCCAAAUAUGCCGGCGAUCGUUUCGCCCUGGUGCGAAACAGAGAGGGUUGCUCGCCCGAUGCCGGUGGGUAGGCUGCUUGAG
rnacentral:RNase_P_RNA from 1 species